UUUAAUCAAGAAGAAGUAUGUUCAGAAGAGUGUCUUCCCAACUCUCAUCUUUAUCUUAGCUGUUUGUAAAGAAUUCAGAAACUUGAAAGAUGUUAAAUAGUUUGUCUCACAAACUAUGCUGGUGAGUUUUACUUGAUCGAGCAUUAAAUCCACAAAGCUGUCUUUGGAUGAUGGUGUUCAGUUAGAGACUUUUCAAAUGAUCUGGUGUGGUGGAUGCGGUGUUGGGGAAAAUCACCAUACCUUUCUUUAAUUCUAUCCAGGUAUAUUCGAAGGUGCUUCUUUCUGCUGUUUAAUUUUCAGCAAAGAAGGAAUAGCCGCCAUAUUAUGAUAUUAUUGGAGAGUGAUCAAGCAAUCAGUUUGGUCUUUAACCUUUGGUUACACAUUUUCUUAGAAGAUGCCUUCACAUCAAUUAUUUAUUUUCUGAGAUUUUGCAAUCUUGUAUAAUAAUCAAAUAAAACCCACAUCUUCUUGACUCCUUAGUUAAUCAGAUUCUUCUAAGCAAAGUGAUCGCUUGAGAUAUUUCUAUCUUAAAGGCAUGUUUGUUCUCUGUGCUGUUUCAAUUUAAUCCGCAUCAAAUACACCACAAGUGGACCAGACAAUUAUCAGAUGUUGCAAAGCAAGGAAUAUCAAAUUGGUUAGUUGUAAAAUGUAUUUUACAAAUUUAGUGCUGCUUAGUUUUCCAGUUAAAUAAAGCAAGAUCAUCAAUUAAUUGACUUUAGUCUAAAUCAAUUCUACAUAUUUAAUUUACAAAGGGAGCUUUCUAGAGUAUGUUUAAAACGUUGAGAUGCACCUAAACGUCCAUUCAACACCAAUGAACACAAAGUUUGCCUUCUCCAUUUGAUGCUUUGCAACGUGUGAACAUCCAUUUUCAGCAUUUUAAACGGAUUCACAAACAUGCUAUUAGUCUCUGGCUGACUUUGAAAGGGGUUUUUUUCACUUGAUGCUGCUGUUAAGUAUUGUUAGGCUAAAGGAUGGUGUCUUUCAAGAAUGAAGUUAAGAAGCUGAUACCUGACUGACUCUAGAGUAGAAGUGGGAACCUUGUGCCUCUGGAUGCUGUUAUUUAUUCUCCUUCCCUAAACUUUGGUUGCUGCAUUGCACUUGGAAGGCUUGUAGUGUGGUCCUAUAAAGCACUUUGUUGCCAUAUUCCUCAGAAUAUUAUGAAACUCGGGUCAAAUAUUUUGAGAUGCUGACAUUCAACCAAAGUCUUAAAUAACAUCUUCUAUCUUGAAUGUUAAGAUUAAUGGUACCUUGCUUACAUGCAAUGCAAUUGAUGGAACUUUAUACUAAUGUUAAAAUUUCUUACCGUGAAUUUAAACUGG
rnacentral:lncRNA from 1 species